rnacentral:rRNA from 1 species
AGUGGCGGACGGGGGAGUAACGCGUGGGUAACCUGCCUCAUACAGGGGGAUAACAGUUAGAAAUGACUGCUAAUACCGCAUAAGACCACGGAGCCGCAUGGCUCAGUGGGAAAAACUCCGGUGGUAUGAGAUGGACCCGCGUCUGAUUAGGUAGUUGGUGGGGUAACGGCCUACCAAGCCAACGAUCAGUAGCCGACCUGAGAGGGUGACCGGCCACAUUGGGACUGAGACACGGCCCAA